GAUUCCUGUCUACUUGAAGCCUUCUAAAGUCCCUUGCAAUGAAAAUCUCAACAUGCUUCUGUGCAAUCUGCCAUUUAUUUCUUCAGUGAUGUGGAGGCUCUCCAGUUAUAGAAAUGGAGCCUAGUGGAGAUCUCUGGAUCAGUUUGAAUACAUGUGUUGUUGACAAUGAGUUAGAGCUAUGCUCCAGAACAGUGCUGAUGAAGUCCACAGUGAAGAUCAAAUGCUUGGGGCUCUAGGAAGCUCCCUUUUCUUCAGCGAGGAGCUGGAAGUGCAUCUUCACAGACCAGAGGGCCGAGGCACUAUCAGAUUUCUUCUCAGUCUGUGCUCCUGAGAGCAUUCAGGCUCCCUCUUCUGUAGAAAGGAGACAUGGAAAGACUGUUCCCUGCCCAUUGCCAUUGGACCCUGAAACUGCAGUCAAGGGGAAAACGGCCUCUCCAGGUAGUGUACUCUGAAAUUUUUCUGAGACAUUUUGGCAGUAUUUAAUAUUUUCCAGAAUUCCAUAAGAAAAUAACAAACUUCAUUUAAGAGUCAGUGUUGAAAACAUAUCACUUAUGUAACAUUUUCUAUAUUAUUGUCUUAUUGGACAAUAUCUAUUCUUAUUGGAAGAAAUUAUCACAUGCUGUAUCUACAAAAGGCAGUGUUUUUUCAGUGGGCCACGAAGUUAUUUCCUCUUCUUACAGAGCAACAAGAGCAGAACUUUCAUGUAUUAGCAUCCAUGUAGUCUUUAUUUCUGAUCUCCACUAUUUAACAUAACAGUCAAUGACAAGAGGUUUUGGAUUUAAGGUUUCUUAAGGAUUUAUAUUUUAGAAGCUUAAAGAACUAAGGAGGUUUUUGAGAGAAAAGAGUAAGGGGAAAGAAACCCAGCUGAACAGCUCACUUUUAGAUGGAUUGGGCAGUUUAUGAAAUAAAUUGUCUUCUAAGUAAGCUUCCAUGAGUUCUCUCACAUGCAUGAAAGGACCACCACCUGAGUAUCUUGGCAUGUGUUUCAUGCCUUGUCAGAGAACAGACUCCCACCGAAGUCUUCUGAGACUGAUUGAUAGAUGUCACGUGUCUCAGAUAACUGUUCUUACCAAAGUUCUUGGAGAAUAUGGCUUUGUGAAUUCCCUCUCUCUAGCCUGUUUAUAAACUGUCUUAUAUGCAAUAUUGCAAUUUGGAUAGGAAGAAUAUGACAAGUUAAUUUACUAAGAUUUGCUAGCAAGUUAAAUAUUCUGUUUGGUGGGAUGGGUUAAACCUAUUGGAGCUGAACAGUGAAUCUGCGUUUUCCCUUUUAUCGAGUGAAUAUUCAAACUAUCAUGCUUUCAAAAGGCUGUACAUACUACUUACUACUAUGGAUCAUGAAUACCCUGUUCCCUUUUCCUUUCCCUGGUGUUCUCGUGGAAAACAAGAAAUGUCUUCAUUUUACAGUUCAAUCCUAGGCAUACAAGUUUCAGAUUUAUUGAUUUGAUUGUGUUGUCUCAAAUGCUGAAACUUCAGAGAUGUGGGAUGAAAAUGUGUUGAAUGAGAUGAAGCGUUCACUGUUGUAAAUUUCUCAACUCAUUGUGCUUAAAUUGCAUCCUCUACUUUUAAAUUGCUCUUUCUGUUAAUACUAUAUGCAAACUGGACUCACUGUUGACUUGGAUUCCACUCAGCUAAAUAAUGUAAAUGCUGACCAUUUUUAUCUGAUUCUAUUGCUUACGGACAGCUUUUGCAAUAUUUAAUGUUUUUUUCUGAACAUUAAAACAGUUUUCAUAAUUUCUGAUUUUUGUCCUGUCUUCACAGUUUUCUCAAAACUAUGUAGCUUCCAGAUUUGUUUUAUUUUGUUUCUGUGAAAGCUAAUACCUGCCAAAUUAAGUGGUAUGAUUAUUCUAACAGUGUUGAAUAAA